rnacentral:rRNA from 1 species
CGUAGGCAGCGAGCGUUGUUCGGAGUUACUGGGCGUAAAGGGUGUGUAGGCGGUUGUUUAAGUUUGGUGUGAAAUCUCCCGGCUCAACUGGGAGGGUGCGCCGAAUACUGAAUGACUUGGAGUGCGGGAGAGGUGAGUGGAAUUCCUGGUGUAGCGGUGAAAUGCGUAGAUAUCAGGAGGAACACCGGUGGUGUAGACGGCUCACUGGACCGUAACUGACGCUGAGACACGAAAGCGUGGGUAGCAAACAGGAUUAGAUACCCUGGUAGUCCACGCCCUAAACGAUGCAUAUUUGGUGUGGGCAGUUCAUUCUGUCCGUGCCGGAGCUAACGCGUUAAAUAUGCCGCCUGGGGAGUACAGUCGCAAGGCUG